CAGCCAGGCAAGGGAGGGGAUUGUCCUGCUCUGCUCUGGGGCAGCCUCACCUCCAGAACUGCUGGGGGCAGUUCUGGGUGCCACAAUGGGUACAACAAGGAGUUAAAAAAAAACCCACCUAAAAUACCUUGAACUCAAUUCCAAAGAAAAGACUGGAACAUAUAAUCAAGCCUAUAUUCAAGCAAUGCACAGACAGUGAAGAUGAAUAUUUAACCUGUCAAGAGUGACAGCUGUUCCCUAGUCCAUGCAAGUCUGCUGCUCUCUGGAUACCUGAAAAACAUGGAAGGGAUUUGGCAUUGCAGAGAUCUGCUGCAUCUUUGGGUGAAAAAGGCCAUGUUAUCAACUUGCCAUUUAGACCACUUUUAUUUCAACUCAUGGUAUGGCAAAACAUUCCAAAAAGAUUUAAAAAAAACCAAAAGGACACCAUAUGUUAGAAGUACAAAAGUACAAAUUAUGUAAAGUGACAGAAUGAUGACAGGCAGAGAAAAAGAAGGGGCAAGAAAAGAAGCGCUUGGCAACCAGACUUCCCUAGGACAUUGAUAUCCCUUAGCUAGACAAGUGACCUCCAGCAUGGCUAAGACAUCAUCACAUCCACCUUAAUAUCCAAGUCUGCUGUCCUGGCACAGACAUUUCUCUUCUCGUGGAGCACCUUAGUUCUUACAGUCAUCUUCCUGGAAUCUUACACACAUGGAAAAUCUUUCUUCAAGAGCCUUACAAUGUGAUCACUUGCUGGCUGUCCUGAUGUCAGUCACUAUCCUUCCCCACAUCAUCACCCCACUCCACUCAUGCUUAGUUCUCCCUUCUUUCCCCUCCCAAGCUGCUGUUUAUUUUUGCUAUUACAGUAGCAAACUGAGUGAGCUCACAAACAGAUUAAGCAAGCACUACAUGCUGCAGGAAUAUGUAGAGAUAGUCCCUUUUGGCAGCAAGCUACUAAAGCAGUUCAGCAUGACUCAAUUUCAUACUCACCCUAUUGUUUCCUUACCUAAGGGACAAUGUAUGAUUAUUCUUAAUACAAACAGGCACUUUCACUUCUGCAUAUAUAUUUUUGUAUUUCACUAAUUAAAAAUUGAUUCAAGAUUGAGAAUUCCGUCUGUUUUUUAUAACUGUCACUUCUGAGAAUUCUGUAUAAAUACAACAUAACUGACACUAAACUUUAUUUGCUACACCAAACUACACAUUUUAUUACAGAAGUGUCCACAUUAUGAAAAUCAUGCUUCGCAUUCCUAUCUCUGGGGCAAGAUGAGACAUAAUGGAAGUUAUUUUAAUACUUUGGCACAACCAUUCCCACCCUAGGAACUUUUAAAAAUUAAACUUCAUUGGUGUGGAAGAGCAUUUUUCAUAACUAAGAACUAACCACAUGAACACAUAAUAUGCAAACAAUAUGACUCAUUACUUGCUCUUGGAAGAGAAUAACUCUACAGCAAAGAACUAGAAGUGCUUUAAGGAUAGUUAAAAACUGGCUGUAGCUUGCUGGAACUGGGCAACUUCGGAGAGAAUAUGACAAACUCCUGAGUGGAGCACAUUAGAGAGUUUUAUUUUUUCCUUCAUACUGAUGACUGCCACUGUAGGUGACUGUAGAGCAGGAUCCUCUUGAGCACAGCAGGAACAAGAGCAGCAAGCUGAAUGCAUUCCAGUAUGGAGAACAGCUCUUAUCCAUGCAAUUUAACACUCAAGGCCAAACGUAAAGUUUUAUAACUGCAAUGUUAUAAAACUCACAUAGGAGCACUACAGAUUUAGGAGUACUGGCAUAUUUCAAAAAAUAAUGAUGCUGUAUGAGCUGUGAUGAAAUGUAAGGGAAAUUAAAAAAGUACAUCUGUCAAAUAGCACCAUAAUCUUUGCAGUUUAAGAGCUCAGGAUCUGCAAAAGACUCAUCAGGAAUGGUUUUGGAAAGAGUCCAAAUAAUAUACAGAAAGCAACAAUAGGGCACAAGGUACAGCCAGAACAUAUAGUUUAUUUUAUCCAUGAGAGGAUCAUGACUUAGGAGAAUUCAACCAGAUUAUUUAAAUGGAGCUCCAACACUACUUGAGGAUAAAUUUUGCAAUGUUAUUACAUGAAAUGAGUGGAUUUCUCAAGUCACUUAAAAUCAUUUGCCCACAGGACUGGAGUCCUAAAAAAGUAUUUUAAAAUAUAGGCUGAAAAACAAAUGGAAAAUCUCAUAUAGAAAAGCUUAAAAAAAAUGUUAUUGGAGAACAAUGAGUUAAGUCCUAUAUUUAAUUUAAAUGGAACAGGUACAUCUAAAUAAGGCCAAUCAGAAACACAUGGAAUAACAUUAAAAAUAACACUACCAGAAGUAAUAUUCUACAUUAUUUUAUGAGAAGAGCUCUUCCAUUCAAAACAUCCCCAUUGUAUCAGACAGCUCAGAGUUGCUGCAACAAAGAUUUUUUCAGGCACUAGCCUAAAACAGGACACUAAUAUGAAAACAUUUCUAUUUCAGUACAUUCCUUAAGACAGAAAUUCACAUGCAUGAAGAGCAGCCCUUCUCCACAUUAUUCAUCCAGCCCAAUGAUAGAUUUGCCAAAUCUGAAUGACGUACUUAUCACCGUGUCUUUGGCAUGGGACCUGGGAGCCUCACUGGGAACUGUGAACACACAUCCAGCAAGCCUGUCAAAACAGGGCCUGUUCACACACUGCUAAGAGGAUGAGACAGAACCAUCCUCACAUGAUUCCUACCGUGGCACCGGAAAUCUGGGGAAAGGCAUCAAAACAGCUCCUUGCUCCACUGUAGGAGGAUGCCAGC